rnacentral:rRNA from 1 species
UUUUGGGUUAAGUCCCGCAACGAGCGCAACCCUUGUCAUUAGUUGCUACGAAAGGGCACUCUAAUGAGACUGCCGGUGACAAACCGGAGGAAGGUGGGGAUGACGUCAAGUCCUCAUGGCCCUUAUGGGUAGGGCUUCACACGUCAUACAAUGGUACAUACAGAGGGCCGCCAACCCGCGAGGGGGAGCUAAUCCCAGAAAGUGUAUCGUAGUCCGGAUUGUAGUCUGCAACUCGACUGCAUGAAGUUGGAAUCGCUAGUAAUCGCGGAUCAGCAUGUCGCGGUGAAUACGUUCCCGGGUCUUGUACACACCGCCCGUCACACCAUGGGAGCGGGUUUUACCAGAAGUAGGUAGCUUAACCGUAAGGAGGGCGCUUACCACGGUAGGAUUCGUGACUGGGGUGAAGUCG